rnacentral:rRNA from 1 species
UACGUAGGGGGCAAGCGUUGUCCGGAAUUAUUGGGCGUAAAGAGCUCGUAGGCGGUCUGUUACGUCCGCUGUGAAAACCCAGGGCUUAACCCUGGGCUUGCAGUGGAUACGGGCAGACUAGAGGCAGGUAGGGGAGAAUGGAAUUCCCGGUGUAGCGGUGAAAUGCGCAGAUAUCGGGAGGAACACCAGUGGCGAAGGCGGCUAUCUGGACGGUUUCUGACGCUAAGACGCGAAAGCGUGGGGAGCAAACAGG